UACGUAGGGGGCUAGCGUUGUCCGGAAUCAUUGGGCGUAAAGCGCACGUAGGCGGUUCGUUAUGUCGGAUGUGAAAGCCCUUGGCUUAACCGAGGAAGUGCAUCCGAAACUGGCGAGCUAGAGUACUAAAGAGGAUCGCGGAAUUCCCGGUGUAGAGGUGAAAUUCGUAGAUAUCGGGAGGAACACCGGUGGCGAAGGCGGCGAUCUGGGUAGAUACUGACGCUGAGGUGCGAAAGCGUGGGGAGCAAACAGGG
rnacentral:rRNA from 1 species